CUACGUGCCAGCAGCCGCGGUAAUACGUAGGGUGCGAGCGUUAAUCGGAAUUACUGGGCGUAAAGCGAGCGCAGACGGUUACUUAAGCAGGAUGUGAAAUCCCCGGGCUCAACCUGGGAACUGCGUUCUGAACUGGGUGACUAGAGUGUGUCAGAGGGAGGUAGAAUUCCACGUGUAGCAGUGAAAUGCGUAGAGAUGUGGAGGAAUACCGAUGGCGAAGGCAGCCUCCUGGGAUAACACUGACGUUCAUGCUCGAAAGCGUGGGUAGCAAACAGGAUUAGAUACCCUGGUAGUCCACGCCCUAAACGAUGUCGAUUAGCUGUUGGGCAGCAUGACUGCUUAGUAGCGAAGCUAACGCGUGAAAUCGACCGCCUGGGGAGUACGGUCGCAAGAUUAAAACUCAAAGGAAUUGACGGGGACCCGCACAAGCGGUGGAUGAUGUGGAUUAAUUCGAUGCAACGCGAAGAACCUUACCUGGUCUUGACAU
rnacentral:rRNA from 1 species